UGCAGUUUAUGUGGUGAAGGUGCUCCCACAAUGUGGUUGGGAUACUACAGGUGGACAUUCAGAUGGUAAUCUCAGUCAUUGUAACAUCUAACUCUGAUUGAAUUAGUCAAUUCAUCAGGACCUGGAUAUUUGCAUUGUGUGGUUCUGAAAGGGCGGAUUUGUGGAUGAGAAAUUCAAAUUGAACUUCCUGUUCAGUUUUGCUGGUUACUUGAUCCGUGCCGAUCUGAAUAUCAUUGGCCUUUUCAUGUGGAAGGAAAGGAUGCUACGUGGUGAAGAUUUGCAGACUCAAAUUUCAACAUCAUGUGCAGAUUGUGAUAAAGUUAACCAGAAUUUGAAGAACCAAAGAUGGAGAAUCACUCGGCCAAAAUCCUGCAACACUCUCACUCAUAGCAUUAUCGGUCUAUCUGCACCAAAUGGACUGUGAAUGGUACAAGACAGCAGCCUACUACCAUCUUCUCAA